GACGAACGCUAGCGGCAGGCAUAAUACAUGCAAGUUGAACGGGAUCUACCAGCAAUGGUGGUGAGAGUGGCGCACGGGUGCGUAACACGUAUGCAACCUGCCUCAAACCGGGGAAUAGCCCGUGGAAACAUGGAUUAAUACCCCAUAAGAUAGUGAAUAGGCAUCUAUUAGCUAUUAAAACUCCGGUGGUUUGAGAUGGGCAUGCGCGACAUUAGCUAGAUGGCGGGGUAACGGCCCACCAUGGCUACGAUGUCUAGGGGGUCUGAGAGGAUGUCCCCCCACACUGGUACUGAGACACGGACCAGACUCCUACGGGAGGCAGCAGUAGGGAAUAUUGGUCAAUGGGCGCAAGCCUGAACCAGCCAUGCCGCGUGCAGGAAGACGGCCCUAUGGGUUGUAAACUGCUUUUAUCAGGGAAGAAACCCCCGAACGUGUUCGGGGCUGACGGUACUUGAAGAAUAAGGAUCGGCUAACUCCGUGCCAGCAGCCGCGGUAAUACGGAGGAUCCAAGCGUUGUCCGGAUUUAUUGGGUUUAAAGGGUGCGUAGGCGGAAUAAUAAGUCAGAGGUGAAAGCCGGUAGCUCAGCUAUCGAAUUGCCUUUGAAACUGUUAAUCUUGAGUAUUGUUGAGGUAGGCGGAAUGUAUCAUGUAGCGGUGAAAUGCUUAGAUAUGAUACAGAACACCGAUUGCGAAGGCAGCUUACUAAACAAAAACUGACGCUGAGGCACGAAAGCGUGGGGAUCAAACAGG
rnacentral:rRNA from 1 species